rnacentral:rRNA from 1 species
UGCAGUCGAACGGUGAAGCCCUUCGGGGUGGAUCAGUGGCGAACGGGUGAGUAACACGUGGGCAAUCUGCCCUGCACUCUGGGACAAGCCCUGGAAACGGGGUCUAAUACCGGAUAUGACCUUCCUCCGCAUGGGGGUUGGUGGAAAGCUCCGGCGGUGCAGGAUGAGCCCGCGGCCUAUCAGCUUGUUGGUGGGGUAAUGGCCUACCAAGGCGACGACGGGUAGCCGGCCUGAGAGGGCGACCGGCCACACUGGGACUGAGACACGGCCCAGACUCCUACGGGAGGCAGCAGUGGGGAAUAUUGCACAAUGGGCGAAAGCCUGAUGCAGCGACGCCGCGUGAGGGAUGACGGCCUUCGGGUUGUAAACCUCUUUCAGCAGGGAAGAAGCGCAAGUGACGGUACCUGCAGAAGAAGCACCGGCUAACUACGUGCCAGCAGCCGCGGUAAUACGUAGGGUGCGAGCGUUGUCCGGAAUUAUUGGGCGUAAAGAGCUCGUAGGCGGCCUGUCGCGUCGGAUGUGAAAGCCCGGGGCUUAACCCCGGGUCUGCAUUCGAUACGGGCAGGCUAGAGUGUGGUAGGGGAGAUCGGAAUUCCUGGUGUAGCGGUGAAAUGCGCAGAUAUCAGGAGGA